rnacentral:tRNA from 1 species
GCCGGAGUGGCGGAAUUGGCAGACGCGCUGGACUCAAAAUCCAGUGCCCGCAAGGGCGUGCCGGUUCAAGUCCGGCCUCCGGUAC